GACGAACGCUGGCGGCGUGCCUAACACAUGCAAGUGGAGCGACGAACCAGGGCUUGCCCUGGAGCAAAGCCGCGAACGGGUGAGUAACACGUGGGUAACCUGCCCCGAUGACUGGGACGAACCCGAGGAAACUCGGGCGUAAUACCGGAUGUGAUGUCCACACAUAAGUGUGUCCAUCAAAGGAAGCUUCGGCCUCCACAUCGGGA
rnacentral:rRNA from 1 species